rnacentral:rRNA from 1 species
UACGUAGGCAGCAAGCGUUGUUCGGAAUUACUGGGCGUAAAGCGCAUGUAGGCGGCCUAGCAGGUCGGAUGUGAAAUCCCUCGGCUCAACCAAGGAAGUGCAUUCGAAACCGCAAGGCUGGAGUCCCGGAGAGGAUGGUGGAAUUCUCGGUGUAGAGGUGAAAUUCGUAGAUAUCGAGAGGAACACCGGCGGCGAAGGCGGCCAUCUGGACGAGGACUGACGCUGAGAUGCGAAAGCGUGGGGAGCAAACAGG